rnacentral:rRNA from 1 species
GACGAACGCUGGCGGCGUGCUUAACACAUGCAAGUCGAACGGAAAGGCCCUGCUUUUGUGGGGUGCUCGAGUGGCGAACGGGUGAGUAACACGUGAGUAACCUGCCCUUGACUUUGGGAUAACUUCAGGAAACUGGGGCUAAUACCGGAUAGGAGCUCCUGCUGCAUGGUGGGGGUUGGAAAGUUUCGGCGGUUGGGGAUGGACUCGCGGCUUAUCAGCUUGUUGGUGGGGUAGUGGCUUACCAAGGCUUUGACGGGUAGCCGGCCUGAGAGGGUGACCGGCAAGAGGGGGAGUGGGCUCGGGCCAGUGCGCGGACGGGAGGCGGAGUGGGGGAAGAGGGCACAGGGGGGGGGAGCCGGACGACGCAGCGGGGUGUGGGGGAUGCCGGGCGGCGGGGUGUAAACCGUGUGCGGGGGUGACGAAGGGUGGGUGACGGGAAUGGGAAAAGAAGAAACGACUAUCUACGGGCCAGGAGCGGCGGUAAUAACGGAAGGGCCACGUCUGACC